GACGAACGCUGGCGGCGUGCUUAACACAUGCAAGUCGAACGGAAAGGCCCUGCUUUUGUGGGGUGCUCGAGUGGCGAACGGGUGAGUAACACGUGAGUAACCUGCCCUUGACUUUGGGAUAACUUCAGGAAACUGGGGCUAAUACCGGAUAGGAGCUCCUGCUGCAUGGUGGGGGUUGGAAAGUUUCGGCGGUUGGGGAUGGACUCGCGGCUUAUCAGCUUGUUGGUGGGGUAGUGGCUUACCAAGGCUUUGACGGGUAGCCGGCCUGGGAGGGUGACCGGCCACAUUGGGACUGAGAUACGGACCAGACUCCUACGGGAGGCAGAAGUGGGGAAUAUUGCACAAUGGGCGGAAGCCUGAUGCAGCAACGCCGCGUGCGGGAUGACGGCCUUCGGGUUGUAAACCGCUUUCGCCUGUGUCGAAGCGUGAGUGACGGUAAUGGGUAAAGAAGCACCGGCUAACUACGUG
rnacentral:rRNA from 1 species